AGAGUGAACGCUGGCGGUAGGCCUAACACAUGCAAGUCGAACGGCAGCACAGUGGUAGCAAUACCAUGGGUGGCGAGUGGCGGACGGGUGAGGAAUACAUCGGAAUCUACCUUUUCGUGGGGGAUAACGUAGGGAAACUUACGCUAAUACCGCAUACGCCCUUCGGGGGAAAGCCGGGGAUCGCAAGACCUGGCGCGGAUAGAUGAGCCGAUGUCGGAUUAGCUAGUUGGUGAGGUAAUGGCUCACCAAGGCGACGAUCCGUAGCUGGUCUGAGAGGAUGAUCAGCCACACUGGAACUGAGACACGGUCCAGACUCCUACGGGAGCAGCAGUGGGAAUAUUGGACAAGUGGGCGCAAGCCUGACUCCAGCCAUACCGCGUGGGUGAAGAAGGCCUUGGUUGUAAGUCCCGUUUAGU
rnacentral:rRNA from 1 species